GGAUAAAUGAUUCAUAAUUAGUUUUUUGUUUCUUCAAUCUUCUCUCUAAUUAGUUUAAUCUGUUCAAUAUUCAAGAACCACAGUUUGUGAUUUAUCAUUAACAUCAUAUAUGUUUUAUUUUAAUUUCUUUGAUUUUGUUCAAUAUUCAUUAAACCCCAAUUGCUGCCAGAUUUCAUCAUUGUUGCUGCUAACCAACCGCUAUGUGCUAUGGUGUAACAACGAUUCCAAUGUUAUGCAAAAUUAGGAUUUCUUACCUCUUUCGCUUUAUUUUGUUGUUUCAUUUAAAUUUUCAGCCCCACUAACCUGAUUUUGGCCCUUUUUUGUAUAGUUAAUCGAUACUCAAAUCUGAAUACACUAAAAGGUUUGUAAGCUAAAGAUAUCGAGUUUGUUUCCGAUUUUGUUUGUUGAUCUGGUAUGUUAUUUUAUAUUUUAACGUUUUUGUUCUUCAAUCUGGAGAUGGUAUACAUUUUGUUUUUGAGUUGGUAAGCAAUAAAUCAAAGAAAUUUGGGGUUUUAACUAGAUUUUGUGCUACAUGAAGUGGUGUUACUGUUCUUGGGUCCUUACAUUUGUAUCAUACAACUAAUUUUAAGGUAUGGUAUUGAAUGUUGAUUAUAGGAGACGAUUGUUACAGAGGAGGGCUGAGGCGAAAGUUAGGGUUCUGACGGGUUGGUCUAUGGCGGCUUAGCGGCCGCGGCAUCGCGAAUCAGUAGCUUGGUGAUUCUAAGCACUCAACAACUAUACAAAUAUGCAUACUUUGCUGGAAUGACAACUAUAACACCCGGAGCAUAUUUCUUGAUGUCAUUUCAAGCAUGAUGAUAUUAAUGAUAGAGGACUACAACAAUGUUCCCAUGAGAAUAUUGAUAUGAAAAAUGGUAAGGCUCUAUUCAUUUCUCACCGAAAGGAGGGCAGAAACAUGACAUAAUAAAGUUGAUGUUUGUACGAAGAUCCUGUGACCCUUUAGAGACAUUUUCGUUAAUACGUUGGAUUCUCUUAUGAGUGAUAAAACAAACUUAUCUCAGGUUUGUUUCUUAUAGUACCUUUUUAGUUUCUGCACUUAGACUUUAUGAAUGCACCAAUAAAUCUUAUGGGUAUUUGUUUCGCAGUGUGGUAUCUAAAUGUGGAAUCUAUCCUUAUUUACUCAUUAGAGUAUACUAUAUUAAUCUCUGGUUGCUUACAAAAAAAAAAACCUCGAAGAAUCAUCUGUUGGUACAUUUGUUGAUGCUAUUGUAAUUGUGUCGUUGCUGAGCCUGACUCUGAUGUCGUUGUUGCUAAUUUGUGUGCUGGUACUCGAACACAAAACGGGUGUCUGAACUAUGUCUCAUUUAUAGGUAUUUCGGCUUCUUUUGAGAUUAUUUUGUGGAUGCCUUUUCUUUUUUACUUAGUGUGUUAAUAAUCUGAGAUUACUGUUGCAUUAGGCUUUAAUGAUUGGCUGGUAUAUAUAUAGAUUGUAUGCCUAGAGAUUAAACUUAUAGUUUUUCGAGUUAAGAGUUGUUAUUGAUGCUUUUCUAUGAUUUCUUUAUAAAAAGUAGAGUCUAAUUUUUUUAAGGUCAUAGUGACAAAGCUAGACUAGGGCUCUUACUCAACUAUGUUUUAACAGGUAAAUAUGUAGGUCAGUACGAAUGUCCAAAAGAUUCCUGUUUUGAAAGAAUUUUCCAGCUAUUAAACAUAGGUUAUGCAUUCUACGUCUCCUCUCCUGGAUAUAUAUAUAUAUAUGGUUGGUGUUAUUAUAACGAUCAUGUUUGUUAACCAUAAAAAAUACUUUGUUUUUUAUUAUAACCGAAACAUGUGCUUUGGUUUUGUUAUCUAAGUGGAGGAGGGUUGAGGUCAUCCUGGGUAAUGGCAAGAAACUAGGGGUCAGUGAAAGUCGGCUGAUAUCCUGGUCAAAUGGUGGAAAAUCAGCAUGACUCAAGGUCUGAAUUGAUAACUAAAACACUAAAAGUCUGUGGACCGAUUUACAAUUUUGCAGAAGGUACCAUCAUACCCCUGAAUUAUUUUUAUUAUUGAAUUAUCUUUUUUGAAGAUAUGUUAAGGUGUUGAUAUAUAAUUAAAGCAUAAGGCAAAUAAGGAGAAUGAAAAGUAGAAGAUAAAAGUUUCACUAUGACUUGACUAGAUAAUGGAACAACCUGAAACUGAUGUAUCAGACUUUGAAAUUCACAAAAGGAUGGUGAAUAACCAAUUUGACUUUGGCAGUUUAAGUCUUAUAUCUCAUGUAGUGAUAUUUUGCUUCAUGUUGUGUAUAUCUAAAACCAAUUAGCUCUUCAGUAUUUUUUUUAAUUCUAAGUUAUAUUCAAUCCAACUUAAAGAGCAAUGUAUAGAGUAAAUUGCCAAAAUCAUCCUGAGAUUUGGUCACUUUUGCCACUUAAACUUUUUUGUAAUCGGACCUUUAGGUUUCAUUUUUACAUAGGAUCACAAACAUUACCGAAAAUGAAUCCAUUGUUAAUGAGCUUAUAAAAAGAUAGGUAAUAUAUUCCAAUCAAGUAAUUCUUAUAUUACAUUAAAGUUUAUAUUUUAUCAACACUGUUCUUAGUAUUUACUCACUUUUGUCAUUUGCCUUAGGAACACAUCUCUGAAGAUGACAAGAAUAUGGAGGCUCAAGUAUGUCUGGUACUACAACCGAAAGAAACUUGAAGAUUGUGGAGGAUGUUAGCAAUAAAGAAAUUAAGUUUCAUAUUUCAAAAAGUGAGAAAUAGUUGAGAUGUUUGUUUGCAAUUUGAACUUGGUCUUUUUAUUGUUUUGUUUGUUCAAUGUUUAUUUUAUAAUACGAACUAAAAAUUUGUGGUGGAGAAGGGAAAGAGUAUACUUUAGAGGUUCAAA